rnacentral:rRNA from 1 species
GAUGAACGCUGGCGGCGUGCCUAAUACAUGCGAGUCGAGCGAACAGAUAAGGAGCUUGCUCCUUUGACGUUAGCGGCGGACGGGUGAGUAACACGUGGGUAACCUACCUAUAAGACUGGGAUAACUUCGGGAAACCGGAGCUAAUACCGGAUAACAUUUGGAACCGCAUGGUUCUAAAGUGAAAGAUGGUUUUGCUAUCACUUAUAGAUGGACCCGCGCCGUAUUAGCUAGUUGGUAAGGUAACGGCUUACCAAGGCGACGAUACGUAGCCGACCUGAGAGGGUGAUCGGCCACACUGGAUCUGAGACACGGUCCAGACUCCUACGGGAGGCAGCAGUAGGGAAUCUUCCGCGAUGGGCGAAAGCCUGACGGAGCAACGCCGGGUGAGUGAUGAAGGGUUUCGGCUCGUAAAACUCUGUUAUUAGGGAAGAACAAAUGUGUAAGUAACUGUGCACGUCUUGACGGUACCUAAUCAGAAAGCCACGGCUAACUACGUG